rnacentral:rRNA from 1 species
UGUCCUACGGGGGGCAGCAGUGGGGAAUAUUGGACAAUGGGGGAAACCCUGAUCCAGCGACGCCGCGUGGGUGAAGAAGGCCUGCGGGUUGUAAAGCCCUUUCGGUAGGGACGAAAGCUCUUGCUCUAACAAAGCAGGAGGUUGACUUAACCUACAUAAGAAGCACCGGCUAACUCUGUGCCAGCAGCCGCGGUAAUACAGAGGGUGCGAGCGUUAAUCGGAAUUACUGGGCGUAAAGCGCACGUAGUCGGCUUGUCAAGUCGGGUGUGAAAUCCCCGGGCUCAACCUGGGAACUGCAUCCGAAACUGACUUGCUAGAGUAUGGGAGAGGGAGGCGGAAUUUCUGGUGUAGCAGUGAAAUGCGUAGAUAUCAGAAGGAACAUCAGUGGCGAAGGCGGCCUCCUGGACCAAUACUGACGAUCAGGUGCGAAAGCGUGGGGAGCAAACAGGAUUAGAUACCCCAGUAGUCAA